GAAACCAAGAGUUGGACACUCAACCAACUGAGUCACCCAGGUACCCCAAGACUAGAACUUUUAAAGUUUUAGGUUUGUAUCAUAACAAAAUUGAGUGGAAGGUACAGAGAUUUCCCAUCCGGCCCCUCCCCCUCAUAAGCACAGCAUCCUCUGUUAUCAACAAUGUGCAUCAGGUAACAUUUGUUACCAGGUAUGAACGUACACUGAUGCAAGCUCAUCGCCCAAAAUCUACAGUUUACCUCGGAAGACUCAGCUCUCCCACUGCUGCCUAUACAUUGCUCAGUGUUGUGUUCAGCUGCAAGUAGUCGAAAACCAGACUUGAGUGACUUCAGCCUAGAGGAAUUAAUUUCUUCACGGAACAGGAAGUUCGGAGACGGGCCCUUGUGUGUUCAGAUCGAACAACUCCUCCCUAUCACAGCUGGACCCAUAUGCCUGCCAUUCCCUUGGUCUCUCUUUCAUGUUCCAGAUUCCAAGCAUCGCUUCUGCAUCCAAGGGAAAAUGGGACUGGAAGAGGGGAAGAUCCCACCAGCCAGCCCAGUUUCUUUCUGUCCUGGAAGCAAAAGCUGUCCAGAGUUCACCCCUGUCCUAAGAAGACUUUUGCUUAAGGCUCCCCGCCCAGAAUCAGGUCCCACGAGAACUCCCAGUACAACAGGAUCUGUGGGACAGAGGUGGUCUGUGGCCGCAAACAAAAUUGAGACAGCGUUAGCACCAAAAAAGGGGUCGCUGGGCACCGGCGUGCAAGUAACAGUAUUUCUGACGCACGUUGCCAUAACCAAGAGCUGUGUGGCUUGCUACAGGCUUUGACUUUGGGGAUAGAAAGCCCCUGCUUCAGUCAGCGUCCCACGCAGGGUAGCUUUGAUAAUAACAGCAGCUCUGUUCAUUAUCACAACCUGUCUUGACAUCAGCACUUCCGUGGAGCAGGCAAGAGAAGUCUCCCCACCCCCACUGGAUGGCUGCAAAACCGAGCCUGCAGCAGGGGCAGCUGCGUGAACAUGGUCAGCCCAGAACUGGACUCUGACUCCUACACCUUCAAGCCUGUGUCCAGAGCUGUGAUUGAUUCCAUUUCUGCCUGCUUGGUCCGCACCGCCGGUUGAACCUCUGGCCGAGGGAGGCAGACGCAUAUUACAAAGAUACAGAAACCAGCGCCUUUCAAACGGACACCAACCUCAGACAACCUUUGUGGAGUUCCAGGUUCUAGAAACACACUGCUUGGGAUGGAGUGGUGAAAAACACCGAACCAGUGGGAUUUCCAGGAUGAUUUCCAUCCAGUGGAUCAUCACCGAAAAGAGCUCUGAGUUGUAUUAUGGCCACUAAACGCAACUUCCAAAAGCCAUAAUUAAGAGAGCACAAGCAGGGGGAGCUGCAGACAGAGGGAG